rnacentral:rRNA from 1 species
AAGUUUCAAGUGAAGUAAG